rnacentral:rRNA from 1 species
AUGGAGGUGUCCCGUGGCGGUGCUGCCGCGGCCGGCGGAGCGGCGCGGAGGGGGGAGGAGGAGGGAGGAGAGGUGAGCCUGCGGGAGUGGCUGGACCGGCCGGGCCGGGUCGUGGAGGCGCCCGAGUGCCUGCACGUGUUUCGCCAGGUGGCGGAGGCGGUGGCCGACGCGCACGCGCAGGGCGUGGCCGUCGGCAGCGCGCGCCCGUCCUGCUUCGUCGUGUCCCCGCCCUUCUCCCGCGUCGCCUUCAUCGAGUCGGCCUCGGGCUCCGACGCCUCCGGCUCCGACGCCUCCGAGGACGCCGACCACGACGCCGAGCCUCCGCGCCGGGGUCACGGCGCGGGCCGAGGGGGGGAGGAGCGCGGCGAGAAGGGGUUCCCGCUCAAGAGCGUGCUGGCGAUGGAGCUCAAUUGGUACACUAGCCCCGAGGAGGCUGACGACAGCGGCGGCGGCGCUACCUUCGCCUCCGACGUGUAUAGAUUAGGGGUGCUCUUGUUCGAGUUGUUUUGCAGCUUCGAAACGUUGGAGGAGAAGAUGCGGGCAAUGGCCAAUCUGAGGUACCGCGUGUUGCCGCCGCAGUUGCUGCUCAAGUGGCCCAAGGAAGCAUCCUUCUGCCAGUUGAUGAUGCACCCUGUACCGGACACCCGACCCAAGAUGAGUGAGGUGCUACAAAGUGAGUUCCUUAAUCAAUCAAGGAAUAGUUUGGAAGAGCGCGAGGCAGCUCUUCGGUUACGUGAAGAGAUAGAAGAACAAGAACUGCUGCUGGAUUUUCUUCUCCAGUUGCAGAAAAGAAAGCAGGAUAUAGCAGACAAUUUGCAGGACACCGUCGCCUUUCUCUCUUCUGACAUCAAUGAGGUACUCCACCGGCAAUCAGCCCUCGGUCAGUGUGGAAAUUUCUCAAUUGAGUUGGAUAAAGAGGUGUCCUCUGGAACUGUUGAAGAUCAGAGUGACUGUGGAUCCAGAAAGCGUUUCAGACCUGAACUGCACGCUGUUGAUAUGGAGGAACACAGUCGUAGUCUGGAAGAAUGUUCUAGAACAGUGCCAUCAUCUGUGGUGAUUCAGGAAAGUGUGUUGUCAAAAAGCUCAAGGUUAAUGAAGAAUUUCAAAAAACUAGAAACAGCAUAUUUUCUAGCAAGAUCCAAGUUGGCAAGGCAAGUUGGCAAUCCACUGAGAAGUUGCGAUCAGGUUGUCAAGAGAACUACUGGUUCAGCUGUUGGAACUGAAGGGAGUUCAAUAGAUGAUUUUGCUUUAGAAGGGCAUUCUGGUAGAAGACAAGGAGGUUGGAUGAACUCUUUUCUUGAAGGAUUGUGCAGGUACUUGUCAUUCAGCCAGUUGAAAGUUCGGGCGGAACUGAAGCAAUGCGAUCUGCUGAACUCAUCAAAUUUAGUAUGCUCUGUAGGCUUUGACCGGGAUAAUGAGUUUUUCGCAACUGCUGGUGUAAAUAAGAAGAUAAAAGUCUUUGAAUAUAAUAUGAUCGUAAAUGAACACCGUGACAUUCACUAUCCUGUGGUUGAGAUGUCUAAUAAAUCAAAAUUAAGUUGUAUUAGCUGGAACAGUUACAUGAAGAGCCAUAUAGCAUCUAGUGACUUUGAUGGUCUCGUACAGGUUUGGGACGUUACUAGGAGCCAAGUUUUUGUUGAAAUGAGGGAGCAUGAGAGGCGUGUGUGGUCAGUAGACUUCUCACUUGCAGACCCAACCAAAUUGGUUAGUGGGAGCGAUGAUGGUACUGUGAAGCUGUGGAGCAUGAAUCAGGCUGGGAGUGUUGGCACUAUCAGAACAAGGGCAAAUGUCUGCUCAGUGCAAUUUCAACCUGAUUCAGCUCGCUCCAUUGCAAUCGGUUCUGCAGAUCACAAAAUUUACUGCUAUGAUCUUCGCAACAUACGGGCUCCUUAUUGUACACUAGUUGGCCACACAAAGACUGUAAGCUAUGUCAAGUAUGUAGAUGCAUCAACCAUAGUAUCUGGUUCCACUGACAACUCAUUGAAGCUUUGGGACUUGUCUACAAAUCAAGCAAGAGUAAUUGACAAUCCAGUUCAAACUUUUACAGGGCAUACAAAUACAAAGAAUUUUGUUGGCCUUUCCAUUUCUGAUGGAUACAUUGCUACUGGGUCAGAAACAAAUGAGGUUUUUGUCUACCACAAAGCAUUUCCAAUGCCAGUCUUGGCGUAUAAGUUCAAUGUCACAGACCCAAUAUCAGGCCAGGAGAUCGACGAUCAAUCACAGUUCAUUUCGUGCGUGUGUUGGAGGGGGCAGUCUUCGACACUUCUUUCUGCUAACUCCAGUGGGAACAUUAAGGUCUUAGAAAUGGACUGA